UGCGAAGGGACAUUUUGCUGGCACUGGGGAGGGCAUAAGCUGCUACUCAGAGGCUAUACAUAAGCCUCUCUAAGAAAUGAAGGUAGGCAGGAGGAAGGUAAACAAAAUAAUUUUGUCUUACAUAGUGUUCAAACUGGAGAAAAGAAAACCCCAUGAAGAGAGCAAUAAAGAGUGCCACUCUGAAUAAAAUUGUCCUAGCCUUGUAGGGCACGGAUUGCCAUCCAGGUGCCCUAGACUCUGAGUAUUUUCUUUCUUUUCUUUCUUUCUUAUUAAAAGUAAUUCUUUAGCCCUCUUCAAAAGAAUGUUAUGGGACAAAAUGUGCAGAUACCUUCUAAGCAAUUUCUUUGAAAUCAGUGGGGUUUUCCUAGUACUGAGGAAUACUCUGUUAUUAGACAGCCACAGCCUCUCUGUGUUUGUGUGUGUAUAGGAGAGGGAUGUGGUGUCUUAUCUCCACAACCAGUACCAACAGGACCUAGGUGACUUCCCAUGGUAAGAUUGUCAGGGGUGGUUGCAUCUCUUAAUUUUGUGUUCUCCUACACUUCCCAGGACAAUCAUUUUGUGUUAUGCUAUGCCCCUUCCAUGGCAGCCAUCGUGUGACUGGUGCCCCUAGCACAUUCUCAAAAUUCAAAAUGUGCCCACUAGUCUAAAAAGGCCCCUAUUGCAGUACUUUCCUGGAACAUCCUGGCUGUUGAUUUGCUCCAGAGUCAAUCAAAGUGUGUAAGCCUAUCACUUACCUGUUAGGACAACAGUUCAUGAUGGGUGUUCACAAAUCUGAACAGAAGUAGCAAGGUGGGUGGAAAUGGUGUUACAACUUUCUGUUCACGUGUUGUGUAUUUGAGAAUAUUUUAAACAGAUUACUCCCUUGAUCCAAUAUGCACAUCUCUUCCUCAGUCUGGAUGGUUAACAUGAAAGACAGCAAAUGCAAUGUAGUGGUUAGACUAGAGUGGGGAGGCCUUGGUUCAAAUCCCCAGUCAGUUAUGGGACUUAGGGGGCAACCGGGGAUGGGGGAGAAUGGGAGACUACCUUAAGCUCUUUAGAAGAAAGCCAGGAUAUAAAUGUGAUAAAUAAUAAAAAUAUAUGUUCCUUUAACUCAUCCCCCUUCACUCCACAACCAUUUGUAAUGUAGAUUUGAAUGGACAUUUCUCAUUAUAGGUGGGGAAAUCAGAAGGUUGUGAUGGUUGUAGUUGCUGCAUUUUAAAAUCCACUGGCAAAAUUGAGUGAUCUUGGGUGGGUGGGCCUAUCUGCCACAUACAGCUUUCACUCUGUCAUGAUAUUGAUGCCUGUAGAUCAUAAAUUGAUGAUCCUAGUGCUGGCUUGGAAUGGGCCAGGGGUGGGGGGAGAGUGAUCUUAGUUCAGGGGCCUCUGGUUCAAGUAGCUCCUGGCUGACAGACACUGGCUCAGGCUGGUGUUGGAGCCAGAGUCUGGGUUCAGCACCACCGUGGCUUCUGCUGCUGGCCUGCUGAUUCCUCCUCCUCUGUGUGCCCUGGUCAUGACACUACCCAGACAUGAAUAUGCCCAGCCUCUUUGCCAUGGCAGAGGCAAGGCAGCUUCCAAAGUGAGAGACAAGUGCGUGCUGAGCUUUAGAGGCUGAAGUGCAGUGGUUGGCUGUACUCUUGAGAUGUAUGUAGCGGAGGUGUGAGUGAUCCAAGCAGACAGCUCUGCUGACCCAUUUCCCCCUCUGCUCUUCCUCUUGACUUUAUUUACUAGUGCUACAGAUUGCAGUGUAGACCCCAGCUGAAUAACAAUCUAGGCAGCCAGUCACUGGCAAAAAAACCCUUCAUCCUUUACAAGCCAGGGCUUACCGCUCUAGGUUUGGCAAAUGGAUAACUAGAUUCUUCAGGGAACCAGACAUCUGUACCGGCUGCCUGUUUUGUGGGUCUUGCCUGAACUAGCUCCAUCACACCCAGAAUUCUAGACUCUUUUCCCAGAAGCCUUCUUCAUAUGCACAUUUGAGCCUGGUUUAUAUGUUAUACUCACCAUGUGGAAAGUAGCCACAUGUAAGUCAGGCUCUGAAAGCUUGUGUUAUCCCAGAUGCAAGCAAAGAGGACCAUAGAGCCAUUGAUUGCUUUUCUCCAUCUGCUGUUUAUCUCAGGCUAUCCUAUCUCUCCCUUAAUGACUAAUUGCCCCUAGGUGUUGAAGUGGGGCAGAGCAAAGAUAAUUAGCUGCUUUUUGCCAUAUUAAUCAGAAAUAUAGGAGUUUCUGAUGUGUAAUUGCAUUUGGUCUGAAACUGGAAAACCUAGAGUGACACAUCGCUCAAGUCCUUAUUUGUACUUCCUGUCUUAAAUUGAACUGGUUUUCCACACUAGCUUUUGCUGCAAAACAGGUUGGAUUUUCACUACACAGAUGCUGAGAUUUGGAAUGGCUCCACUUUGUGCCUGUAUAGAAGCUCCAAUGAGCUUUCAAGCUGCCACUCUUAACUGUUUCUAUGUCUAGGAAAGACCCUGGUCCCAAACAGCUUGUCAGUCAGUGUGGACAGUACUGAGCUAAAUGGAUCAAUGGUCUGAUUCUGUGCAGGGGAAGGGCUUGGGAGAAGUUACAGCUUGCUUUCUGCUUUAUUUGGUUGGCAUAAAAGUAUUGUGCUACUAUUGCUUUCAAACUUUGGGUGCUGCAAGAAGCUGGCUAGCUUAUUGUGGCUUGAGUUUUGAUAGGGAGGGUUGGAAUAUAUCCAAAACUUCCAGUGGGACAUUUGCAAAUCAAAGCCCCUUGGCUCAAAGCCACUGUCCGCAGUGCUAAAAUAUGCUUGGAGGUUGAUUCUAGCCCAUUGAACACAUGGAGGCACUGAAGCAGUUCGGUGUUCUGCUUUUUGAGAACUCUCUUCCCUUAAUUGCACUAAUAAACCAUAUGUCAGGGUUGCUUUAAAAAUAAAUAAAUAAGAGAGAGGCUGCUUAGGAGGCUAGGAAACUUCAUUGCCUGUGGAAAAAUGAGCUAUCAGAGGAGUUUGGGGGGCAGUGGGGGAGCAAAUUUAAAGCAUUCUUUGUGAAUUAUGGAUUUCAGAGUUCUGCUCUUCCACCUGGAGCUGUUCUGAAGUGUGUGAAGGUCUCUGAUGCCUCUGUGUUCAUGCUAGGAACACAGGAUAUGAAUCUAGGAAGCUGCCAUAUACUGAGUGAGAGCAUUGGUCCAUCUAGCUCAGUGCUGUCUACACAAAAUGGCAGCAGCUCUCCAGAGUUUCUGACCCAGGGGUUUUUCUCAGCCCUUCCUGGAGAUGCUGGAGAUUGAAGUUCGGACCUUCUGCGGAUAUGGCAGAUGUUGUACCACUGAGCCAUGACUCUUUCUCAUGAGACUCCCCCCUGGUAUCAGAAGAGUUGGCCCUGGAGAAGCUCAGUCAGUCAUUGAAAAUGUGCAAAUUUUGGGAUCAGCAGUGAAACUGUUUUGGCCAAAAUGGUCCUCUUAUCUCAUCAAGAAGAGCCAAUGAGAUCUUGCUGGACCCAGGAGAUAUUACCCUUUGCCAUCGCUGCUGCCUCUGAGCAUUGUGUCAUACCGUACAAAGGCAGAGAGAAAAGAACCACAAGAAGCUUGGCAAGGAGAUAGGGAAGAGGUGUUCUUUAGCAAUAUGUAUUACAUAGCUU